CUCUCGGGGUGCUAUACUAUUAAAGUUUAGCUGAGAAUAGUAAAUGCUUACUUAACCCGUUGAACUUGAACUGGAUAAUACCAGCGUAGGGAAGAGUAAUACUUU
rnacentral:ncRNA from 1 species